AGAAAACAGAGGGAGGCCAACUGGUUCACUAGCAUGGCUGUGGAGUAACAGAAAACAGAGGGAGGCCAACUGGUUCACUAGCAUGGCUGUGGAGUAACAGAAAACAGAGGGAGGCCAACUGGUUCACUAGCAUGGCUGUGGAGUAACAGAAAACAGAGGGAGGCCAACUGGUUCACUAGCAUGGCUGUGGAGUAACAGAAAACAGAGGGAGGCCAACUGGUUCACUAGCAUGGCUGUGGAGUAACAGAAAACAGAGGGAGGCCAACUGGUUCACUAGCAUGGCUGUGGAGUAACAGAAAACAGAGGGAGGCCAACUGGUUCACUAGCAUGGCUGUGGAGCAGCAGAAAAGAGAGAGAGGCCAACUGGUUCACUAGCAUGGCUGUGGAGCAGCAGAAAACAGAGAGAGGCCAACUGGUUCACUAGCAUGGCUGUGGAGCAGCAGAAAACAGAGGGAGGCCAACUGGUUCACUAGCAUGGCUGUGGAGCAGCAGAAAACAGAGGGAGGCCAACUGGUUCACUAGCAUGGCUGUGGAGCAGCAGAAAACAGAGGGAGGCCAACUGGUUCACUAGCAUGGCUGUGGAGAAGCAGAAAACAGAGGGAGGUUCACUAGCAUGGCUGUGGAGCAGCAGA